GCCGAACCGAGCGAGCGUUGUUCGGAAUCACUGGGCUUAAAGGGCGCGUAGGCGGGCUGUCAAGUCUGGGGUGAAAUCCCAUGGCUCAACCGUGGAACUGCCUCAGAUACUGACGGCCUCGAGGGAGGUAGGGGCGAGCGGAACGGGUGGUGGAGCGGUGAAAUGCGUUGAUAUCACUCGGAACUCCGGUGGCGAAAGCGGCUCGCUGGACCUUUUCUGACGCUGAGGCGCGAAAGCUAGGGGAGCAAACGGG
rnacentral:rRNA from 1 species